AGUGAACGCUGGCGGCAGGCCUAAUACAUGCAAGUCGAACGGCAGCACAGCAGAGCUUGCUCUGUGGGUGGCGAGUGGCGGACGGGUGAGGAAUACAUGGGAAUCUGCCCAGUCGUGGGGGAUAACGUAUGGAAACGUACGCUAAUACCGCAUGCGCCCUACGGGGGAAAGUCGGGGACCGCAAGGCCUGACGCGAUUGGAUGAGCCCAUGUUCGAUUAGCUAGUUGGCGGGGUAAAGGCCCACCAAGGCGACGAUCGAUAGCUGGUCUGAGAGGACGAUCAGCCACACUGGAACUGAGACACGGUCCAGACUCCUACGGGAGGCAGCAGUAGGGAAUAUUGGACAAUGGGGGCAACCCUGAUCCAGCCAUGCCGCGUGAGUGGAGAAGGCCCUCGGGUUGUAAAGCUCUUUUGUCCGGAAAGAAAAGCAAUCGGUUAAUACCCGGUUGUCCUGACGGUACCGG
rnacentral:rRNA from 1 species